UUAGAUAAGCUGUGGUUUGAUUUAAUUGCUCAUAGACACAACAGCUGCACAGUAAAUAGAAAAUGAUCCUUUCCUCGUAAAUUAUCAUAUUUUCUGGAUGUGCUUAUUCCAUCGACCUUAGUGAACCUGCAGUGACUUUGCUGAAUAAUCUUUGCGUGACAGUGUGUGUGCGUGUGUGUGUGUGUAUGACUGUGCAAACUCAAGACGUCUUUUCCACAGACAGAUGUGGCAGAGCUAAGACGUCAAAGAUGUCUCAGUUUUUUCCAUCACUGGACUGCAGUGUGACCAGAGGAGGAUCAGAGCUGGACCUGAUGUGCCCCACGUUCAGGCUGCCAGCUUAAGAAACAGGUCUCUGGAAAAACUGGGCUGAAAAUUCUGACAACACAAAGAAAUGACACGUCAUAGACUUCAGCGGUGGAGUGACAGUGACAGUGAAUGCAGCAGCUGGGCUCAUGGAUGGAUUCUGGCUACAGCUUUGUACUGUGGUUUCACUCCUGCUGCUGGGCCCUCGGCCAAGCCCCUGCCUCACCCUCUGACGGUCAAACUCUUCCAAGCAACACUUCGCAGACCGCAGCUCUUUUCAGAAAGUCCAAUCUGUCAUGUCGGGGUCACGGCUGGACGGGUCAGCGUGGAAGCUGGGGGUCACGCCAGAUUCUUCCUCCCUGCAGAGGGAAGACAGUGGAAGUCACGUGGGACGUGGCUCUCUUGGUCAGGGGAAAAAACAGGAAGAAAUGCAGCAGACGUUUUUUCCUCAUUACCGCGGCAGCAGCGGAUGCACUUGUUAUGACUUUAUAUGGACCUGUACAGCAGCAUGACUGGAUUAGUGAUAAACACAUGACAGCAUGACUGGACAACAUCAUCCGCAUCUGCACUGACAUACAAGAAGGACACUUUUAUCCACAGCGCCUGAAUGCAGCAUGAAUACCCAGACAUCACAAUCUUUGUCAUCAUCGCUGCUAUCAUCGUUCUCGUCAUCUUCGUUUCAUCCACAUCUUCCUCUGCUCUUCCUCCUUCUCUAUCAUGAUCUCUCUCACCCUCCUCUUCCUCACUUGUGUCACUUGCAGCAGCUUGUUAAAACAUUUAAACGGGUUUUCUUUCUAGAUUCUCGUUACUGUUGCCACCAGUUUGGCCUAACGUAUUUCAUGAUGAAUUCAGAUGAAAUCAGCUCGAUCUUGGUUAUUCAUAAGAUGUGCUGGCCUUUUCUGUUUCUCCCUGUUCCUUAUGACCACCAAAUCGCUCACGCUGCCUGGCUGCUGACCAAACAGCUCUCAGCACAGCGAUCAGUGGCUUCCAGUCUUUGGGCACUUGUGCAGGGGGUAUAGCUCAGUGGUAGAGCAUUUGACUGCAGAUCAAGAGGUCCCCAGUUCAAAUCUGGGUGCCCCCUGUAGUUUUUGUUGUCGUUAGUCAAGAAGUGACAGCUUUGAUACCAGCAUUCAAGCAGGACAUCUAAAUCGUGCUGACUAGGCCAGCUGGGCCCCAUGGGCCUCCAGCCC